GACGAACGCUGGCGGCGUGCUUAACACAUGCAAGUCGAACGGACAUUCCCUGCUUUUUUGGGGUGCUCGAGUUGCGAACUGGUGAGUAACACGUGAGUAACCUGCCCUUGACUUUGGGUUAACUUAAUGAAACUUGGGCUAAUACCGGAUAGGAGCUCCUGCUUCAUGGUGGGGGCUGGACAGUUUCGGCGGUUGGGGUUGGACUCGCGGCUUAUCAGCUUGUUGGUGUGGUAGUGGUUUACCAAGGCUUUGACGAGUAGCAGGAGUGAGAGGGUGACCGGGCACAGUGGGACUGAGACACGGCCACGACCCAUACGGGAGGCAGAAGUAGGGAAGAUGGAACAAUGGGAAGAAGCGAGAGGCAGAAACGGCGAGGGCGGGAUAACGGCCUUCGGGUUGGAAACCGAUAACGCCUGUGACGAAGAGUAAGAGGAGGGAAUGGGUAAAGAAGGACCGGCUAAAUACGGG
rnacentral:rRNA from 1 species